rnacentral:rRNA from 1 species
AUACGGAGGGUGCAAGCGUUAUCCGGAUUUAUUGGGUUUAAAGGGUGCGUAGGCGGUUUGAUAAGUCAGCGGUGAAAUAUUUCAGCUUAACUGGAAGGGUGCCGUUGAUACUGUCGAGCUUGAAUUUAGUUGCUGUGGGUGGAAUGUGUGGUGUAGCGGUGAAAUGCAUAGAUAUCACACAGAAUAUCGAUUGCGAAGGCAGCUCACAAAGCUAAUAGUGACGCUGAUGCACGAAAGUGUGGGGAUCAAACAGGAUUAGAUACCCUGGUAGUCCACACUGUAAACGAUGAUAACUCGCUGUCGGCGAUACAUAGUCGGUGGCCAAGCGAAAGCGAUAAGUUAUCCACCUGGGGAGUACGACCGCAAGGUUGAAACUCAAAUGAAUUGGCGGGG